GCAGCUGUGCGACUCUGACUCCCGUGGGCUGUGACAAAGGAUACUCUCUCCUGAUCCAGACCCCAGGAACCUUUAACCAUUAUCCUAGAGCACAAGGAGAUUUGGGGAGAUUUAAAUGAAAUUUUUCAAAAAAAGAUAGUCAAGUAUUCUCAUUAUCCUGCUGCUCCCAUCCAACUUUCCACCUCUCUGCACAUUUGCUUCCUUUAAGAAAAUCUGCUCAUUUAUUUUGUGAGCCUUAGCAAGAUCCCAGGCCUUGAAGUUCUGGCUCUUCGAGGUUGGAGAUCCUAAAGAAUAUUGAGAAUUGUAUUGAUUGAGGUUUUCUUGGUGUUAUACAGCAAUGCCCAUGUACUCAAGGAGCCUUUUUGAGAACAUGCUAAUUCGACAGAGAAUCAGCAGCCAACACUGUUGUCUUAAGAAGAGGACUGAAGAGGAAAAGACAAUGCUGAGAGCCUUACUGACCUCUUUCAACAGCCUCCCCACAUGCAGCUGCUUUUGGGAAGCAAAUGUGGGGCAGUCAGAGGAUCUAAAAAGUAUGGGGAUUCACUGCUGUAUAUCACAUGUAUAUCAUGUGAAUAACAUCUUUCAAUUAGGAGCAUCCCACAUUCACCCAGCUCCUUGUGGUACAUGGAUCACAUACAUACAUGGUACCAGGAUGUGCAACAGACAAAAGAGUUGACAACUGAAAUAUAGCAUGGGAAUAGCCUUCAAGAAGGAACGAAGCAUGGCCUUGUUCUGAAACAAAUUGUUUUACUGAAUUCUAUCCCUUCAAAAUUACAUUGUACUGUGCAUUCCUCAUGCCAGAGUCCAGCCCAGAAAGAAAUUGGUCCCUGAAUUUUUCUAAAUAUCAAAGAAAAAGUUCUGUAAAAAUCUCUUUUUUAAUAGGGUCUUUCAAUAGUAAAACACUGCUUGGCUAAAGCAAGGGACACCAAGAGCUGGUGUUUGGAAGACAGAUUAUAGUUGAAACUCAGAAUAUCUGAGUGAUUCGUCAACCAGUGAUUAUUAAGGCAUUGAAUUUCACGGAACAGCUUGGUUUUAAACAAGUUCUUUCUAUGCUUUUUCUGUAUGUAUGUGUUUAAGCAAAUGCACCUUUCCACAUUGCCUAUAAACCUUUUACCAGUUGACUUCUACCCCCAUGCUGUUCAUCACAGCUUCAUGCUCAUAUUCCUUAUUAGAAACGUAGGAGGAAACAUUGUUUUUUGCCAUUGGAGAAGACACCAGAAAGACUUUAGAAGUUUCUGAAGUGCAUUGCACUGCUAUACCGGUUGUCCAAUUUUUUUAGAUUAUUGUAUGUGUGCCUGCUGCUUGCAGUGGUUUGAAAGCAGGAAGACCUUUAAAGUCCACAAUACUAAAAGUUGAGCUUGAACUCAGCUGAAGUCGUUCACUCAGGUCUUGGAACAGCUCCAAAAAGAUACUCAAUGUGCCCUGCACACAGAUUUGUGGGAAACUGUGAAGAAAAACAAACAGAUGACCUUAGAACAUUUGUUGUCAAUGAAGUGCAGUAGACAAAGAUAUCCAACAGUAGAGAAUGGUUGAGUUGGAUGAGGUCUUGCAGGUGUUAAUCUGAUGUAGUGAAAACAAGAAGCUGAUAGAAAAACGAACAUAAAUGAAAAUGUAGAUAGGUUUUCUAGAGCUUAUCAUUUUAGCAGCAGCUUUUGGGCCUAAAUAGUUGCCUGUGAUCAGGAGGAAAAAUCACACAAUUGCUUCUGUUUCCUUAUUAGGUAAACCUGCAUAUACUUGCAGCUUAAUUGAGUAAACAUGCACAUUUAAAAUUCAGUGCAUAAAAUAUUUGUAAAAAGUUAGCAGAUGAAAGAAGCUUAAAAUCAGCAUGAUGCAAAAUAAAGUUGCAGUUUUCCACCUUUAACCCA
rnacentral:lncRNA from 1 species